rnacentral:rRNA from 1 species
GACGAAGGAUGCAAGCGUUAUCCGGAUUCAUUGGGUUAAAGGGUGCGUAGGCGGACUGAUAAGUCAGUGGUGAAAUCUCUUUGCUAACAAAGAAACUGCCUUGAUACUGUCGGUCUAGAGUAUAGGAUGACGUUGGCGGAAUAUGACAUGUAGUGGUGAAAUACUUAGAUAUGUCAUAGAACACCGAUUGCGAAGGCAGCUAACGAA